rnacentral:rRNA from 1 species
UUCUUUCCUCCCGAGUGCUUGCACUCAAUUGGAAAGAGGAGUGGCGGACGGGUGAGUAACACGUGGGUAACCUACCCAUCAGAGGGGGAUAACACUUGGAAACAGGUGCUAAUACCGCAUAACAGUUUAUGCCGCAUGGCAUAAGAGUGAAAGGCGCUUUCGGGUGUCGCUGAUGGAUGGACCCGCGGUGCAUUAGCUAGUUGGUGAGGUAACGGCUCACCAAGGCCACGAUGCAUAGCCGACCUGAGAGGGUGAUCGGCCACACUGGGACUGAGACACGGCCCAGACUCCUACGGGAGGCAGCAGUAGGGAAUCUUCGGCAAUGGACGAAAGUCUGACCGAGCAACGCCGCGUGAGUGAAGAAGGUUUUCGGAUCGUAAAACUCUGUUGUUAGAGAAGAACAAGGACGUUAGUAACUGAACGUCCCCUGACGGUAUCUAACCAGAAAGCCACGGCUAACUACGUGCCAGCAGCCGCGGUAAUACGUAGGUGGCAAGCGUUGUCCGGAUUUAUUGGGCGUAAAGCGAGCGCAGGCGGUUUCUUAAGUCUGAUGUGAAAGCCCCCGGCUCAACCGGGGAGGGUCAUUGGAAACUGGGAGACUUGAGUGCAGAAGAGGAGAGUGGAAUUCCAUGGGUUAAGCCGG